GCAACGGACCGGCGGUGCCCGCACCUCCGAGGCCACGCCGCCGCCCACCGGCCCCUGUGCCCCUGCUCCCCCAGGCCGGCCCCGCCCGAUGCCGCGGACCAGAUCCGCCGGCCCAGUGGCCAGACAAGGCUGCGGUCGAGCCGCGCCGCCCUUGCAGUUCUUCUCCCGGUCUGCGCCCCCUUCGCCACCGGACGUGCCAAGGCGCGCUGCCGCCGGUCCAUCCCCGCCGGCCAACCUCCACAGACCGCCGGCGACCACGCCAGGGCACCCCGCCGUCGGACCAGAUCCGCGGCAAAGUAACCUGCUGCCGGCCCAGAUCUGUGCCAUCGACCUCAUGGCGGCCUCCUCUCCCUCGCCAGCGCGGAUGGACCGUGGCUGUCCCACCGGCUUCUCCCCUACCUCGGCAGCCUCCCUUGCGUCGGCCCUCUUCUUCCUGCCUCCACAAGCAUGCCAACGCCCUCCCAUGCGCAGCGCCCCCGGCCUUCCUGCGCACCCUGCGUUCCUCUCCCCUGUGUCGGCGUCUUUGCCCGUGCAGCCCCUUGUCAUCACGCUAGCCACCUCCUAAUUGCUCGCGUUGACGCCCCAGCAGCGCCUCCCACUUCAAGCUUCUCCCGGCGCCGGCGCCGUCAUCAUCCCUUGCCAGGUCCGGCGUAGGCCCCUGCCUGGCUGGAACCGCCCCGUCGCCCUCCCCUUCCUCGCCUUCGUUGGAUCCGUCGCUGCCGCGGCCUUCCCGGCCGGAUCCACGUUGCUGCGUCC
rnacentral:misc_RNA from 1 species